GGGUUGUGAGGUUAAGCGACUAAGCGUACACGGUGGAUGCCCUGGCAGUCAGAGGCGAUGAAGGACGUGCUAAUCUGCGAUAAGCGUCGGUAAGGUGAUAUGAACCGUUAUAACCGGCGAUUUCCGAAUGGGGAAACCCAGUGUGAUUCGUCACACUAUCAUUAACUGAAUCCAUAGGUUAAUGAGGCGAACCGGGGGAACUGAAACAUCUAAGUACCCCGAGGAAAAGAAAUCAACCGAGAUUCCCCCAGUAGCGGCGAGCGAACGGGGAGCAGCCCAGAGCCUGAAUCAGUGUGUGUGUUAGUGGAAGCGUCUGGAAAGGCGCGCGAUACAGGGUGACAGCCCCGUACACAAAAAUGCACAUGCUGUGAGCUCGAUGAGUAGGGCGGGACACGUGGUAUCCUGUCUGAAUAUGGGGGGACCAUCCUCCAAGGCUAAAUACUCCUGACUGACCGAUAGUGAACCAGUACCGUGAGGGAAAGGCGAAAAGAACCCCGGCGAGGGGAGUGAAAAAGAACCUGAAACCGUGUACGUACAAGCAGUGGGAGCACGCUUAGGCGUGUGACUGCGUACCUUUUGUAUAAUGGGUCAGCGACUUAUAUUCUGUAGCAAGGUUAACCGAAUAGGGGAGCCGAAGGGAAACCGAGUCUUAACUGGGCGUUAAGUUGCAGGGUAUAGACCCGAAACCCGGUGAUCUAGCCAUGGGCAGGUUGAAGGUUGGGUAACACUAACUGGAGGACCGAACCGACUAAUGUUGAAAAAUUAGCGGAUGACUUGUGGCUGGGGGUGAAAGGCCAAUCAAACCGGGAGAUAGCUGGUUCUCCCCGAAAGCUAUUUAGGUAGCGCCUCGUGAAUUCAUCUCCGGGGGUAGAGCACUGUUUCGGCAAGGGGGUCAUCCCGACUUACCAACCCGAUGCAAACUGCGAAUACCGGAGAAUGUUAUCACGGGAGACACACGGCGGGUGCUAACGUCCGUCGUGAAGAGGGAAACAACCCAGACCGCCAGCUAAGGUCCCAAAGUCAUGGUUAAGUGGGAAACGAUGUGGGAAGGCCCAGACAGCCAGGAUGUUGGCUUAGAAGCAGCCAUCAUUUAAAGAAAGCGUAAUAGCUCACUGGUCGAGUCGGCCUGCGCGGAAGAUGUAACGGGGCUAAACCAUGCACCGAAGCUGCGGCAGCGACGCUUAUGCGUUGUUGGGUAGGGGAGCGUUCUGUAAGCCUGCGAAGGUGUGCUGUGAGGCAUGCUGGAGGUAUCAGAAGUGCGAAUGCUGACAUAAGUAACGAUAAAGCGGGUGAAAAGCCCGCUCGCCGGAAGACCAAGGGUUCCUGUCCAACGUUAAUCGGGGCAGGGUGAGUCGACCCCUAAGGCGAGGCCGAAAGGCGUAGUCGAUGGGAAACAGGUUAAUAUUCCUGUACUUGGUGUUACUGCGAAGGGGGGACGGAGAAGGCUAUGUUGGCCGGGCGACGGUUGUCCCGGUUUAAGCGUGUAGGCUGGUUUUCCAGGCAAAUCCGGAAAAUCAAGGCUGAGGCGUGAUGACGAGGCACUACGGUGCUGAAGCAACAAAUGCCCUGCUUCCAGGAAAAGCCUCUAAGCAUCAGGUAACAUCAAAUCGUACCCCAAACCGACACAGGUGGUCAGGUAGAGAAUACCAAGGCGCUUGAGAGAACUCGGGUGAAGGAACUAGGCAAAAUGGUGCCGUAACUUCGGGAGAAGGCACGCUGAUAUGUAGGUGAAGUCCCUCGCGGAUGGAGCUGAAAUCAGUCGAAGAUACCAGCUGGCUGCAACUGUUUAUUAAAAACACAGCACUGUGCAAACACGAAAGUGGACGUAUACGGUGUGACGCCUGCCCGGUGCCGGAAGGUUAAUUGAUGGGGUCAGCGCAAGCGAAGCUCUUGAUCGAAGCCCCGGUAAACGGCGGCCGUAACUAUAACGGUCCUAAGGUAGCGAAAUUCCUUGUCGGGUAAGUUCCGACCUGCACGAAUGGCGUAAUGAUGGCCAGGCUGUCUCCACCCGAGACUCAGUGAAAUUGAACUCGCUGUGAAGAUGCAGUGUACCCGCGGCAAGACGGAAAGACCCCGUGAACCUUUACUAUAGCUUGACACUGAACAUUGAGCCUUGAUGUGUAGGAUAGGUGGGAGGCUUUGAAGUGUGGACGCCAGUCUGCAUGGAGCCGACCUUGAAAUACCACCCUUUAAUGUUUGAUGUUCUAACGUUGACCCGUGAUCCGGGUUGCGGACAGUGUCUGGUGGGUAGUUUGACUGGGGCGGUCUCCUCCUAAAGAGUAACGGAGGAGCACGAAGGUUGGCUAAUCCUGGUCGGACAUCAGGAGGUUAGUGCAAUGGCAUAAGCCAGCUUGACUGCGAGCGUGACGGCGCGAGCAGGUGCGAAAGCAGGUCAUAGUGAUCCGGUGGUUCUGAAUGGAAGGGCCAUCGCUCAACGGAUAAAAGGUACUCCGGGGAUAACAGGCUGAUACCGCCCAAGAGUUCAUAUCGACGGCGGUGUUUGGCACCUCGAUGUCGGCUCAUCACAUCCUGGGGCUGAAGUAGGUCCCAAGGGUAUGGCUGUUCGCCAUUUAAAGUGGUACGCGAGCUGGGUUUAGAACGUCGUGAGACAGUUCGGUCCCUAUCUGCCGUGGGCGCUGGAGAACUGAGGGGGGCUGCUCCUAGUACGAGAGGACCGGAGUGGACGCAUCACUGGUGUUCGGGUUGUCAUGCCAAUGGCACUGCCCGGUAGCUAAAUGCGGAAGAGAUAAGUGCUGAAAGCAUCUAAGCACGAAACUUGCCCCGAGAUGAGUUCUCCCUGACUCCUUGAGAGUCCUGAAGGAACGUUGAAGACGACGACGUUGAUAGGCCGGGUGUGUAAGCGCAGCGAUGCGUUGAGCUAACCGGUACUAAUGAACCGUGAGGCUUAACCUUACAACGCCGAAGGUGUUU
rnacentral:rRNA from 1 species